rnacentral:rRNA from 1 species
UACGGAGGGAGCUAGCGUUGUUCGGAAUUACUGGGCGUAAAGCGCGCGUAGGCGGCUUUGUAAGUUAGAGGUGAAAGCCCGGGGCUCAACCCCGGAACUGCCUUUAAGACUGCAUCGCUUGAAUCCGGGAGAGGUGAGUGGAAUUCCGAGUGUAGAGGUGAAAUUCGUAGAUAUUCGGAAGAACACCAGUGGCGAAGGCGGCUCACUGGACCGGCAUUGACGCUGAGGUGCGAAGGCGUGGGGAGCGAACGGG